rnacentral:rRNA from 1 species
UGCCGGCGACCGGCGGACGGGUGCGUAACGCGUAUGUAACCUACCUUUGACAGGGGGAUAACAUCGAGAAAUUGGUACUAAUACCCCAUAACAUCACCGGAGGCAUCUUCGGUGGUUGAAAACUCAGGUGGUCAGAGAUGGACAUGCGUUGUAUUAGCUAGUUGGUGGGGUAACGGCUCACCAAGGCGACGAUACAUAGGGGGACUGAGAGGUCAACCCCCCACAUUGGUACUGAGACACGGACCAAACUCCUACGGGAGGCAGCAG